rnacentral:rRNA from 1 species
GUUAAGCGACUAAGCGUACACGGUGGAUGCCCUGGCAGUCAGAGGCGAUGAAGGACGUGCUAAUCUGCGAUAAGCGUCGGUAAGGUGAUAUGAACCGUUAUAACCGGCGAUUUCCGAAUGGGGAAACCCAGUGUGUUUCGACACACUAUCAUUAACUGAAUCCAUAGGUUAAUGAGGCGAACCGGGGGAACUGAAACAUCUAAGUACCCCGAGGAAAAGAAAUCAACCGAGAUUCCCCCAGUAGCGGCGAGCGAACGGGGAGCAGCCCAGAGCCUGAAUCAGUGUGUGUGUUAGUGGAAGCGUCUGGAAAGGCGCGCGAUACAGGGUGACAGCCCCGUACACAAAAAUGCACAUGCUGUGAGCUCGAUGAGUAGGGCGGGACACGUGGUAUCCUGUCUGAAUAUGGGGGGACCAUCCUCCAAGGCUAAAUACUCCUGACUGACCGAUAGUGAACCAGUACCGUGAGGGAAAGGCGAAAAGAACCCCGGCGAGGGGAGUGAAAAAGAACCUGAAACCGUGUACGUACAAGCAGUGGGAGCACGCUUAGGCGUGUGACUGCGUACCUUUUGUAUAAUGGGUCAGCGACUUAUAUUCUGUAGCAAGGUUAACCGAAUAGGGGAGCCGAAGGGAAACCGAGUCUUAACUGGGCGUUAAGUUGCAGGGUAUAGACCCGAAACCCGGUGAUCUAGCCAUGGGCAGGUUGAAGGUUGGGUAACACUAACUGGAGGACCGAACCGACUAAUGUUGAAAAAUUAGCGGAUGACUUGUGGCUGGGGGUGAAAGGCCAAUCAAACCGGGAGAUAGCUGGUUCUCCCCGAAAGCUAUUUAGGUAGCGCCUCGUGAAUUCAUCUCCGGGGGUAGAGCACUGUUUCGGCAAGGGGGUCAUCCCGACUUACCAACCCGAUGCAAACUGCGAAUACCGGAGAAUGUUAUCACGGGAGACACACGGCGGGUGCUAACGUCCGUCGUGAAGAGGGAAACAACCCAGACCGCCAGCUAAGGUCCCAAAGUCAUGGUUAAGUGGGAAACGAUGUGGGAAGGCCCAGACAGCCAGGAUGUUGGCUUAGAAGCAGCCAUCAUUUAAAGAAAGCGUAAUAGCUCACUGGUCGAGUCGGCCUGCGCGGAAGAUGUAACGGGGCUAAACCAUGCACCGAAGCUGCGGCAGCGACGCUUAUGCGUUGUUGGGUAGGGGAGCGUUCUGUAAGCCUGCGAAGGUGUGCUGUGAGGCAUGCUGGAGGUAUCAGAAGUGCGAAUGCUGACAUAAGUAACGAUAAAGCGGGUGAAAAGCCCGCUCGCCGGAAGACCAAGGGUUCCUGUCCAACGUUAAUCGGGGCAGGGUGAGUCGACCCCUAAGGCGAGGCCGAAAGGCGUAGUCGAUGGGAAACAGGUUAAUAUUCCUGUACUUGGUGUUACUGCGAAGGGGGGACGGAGAAGGCUAUGUUGGCCGGGCGACGGUUGUCCCGGUUUAAGCGUGUAGGCUGGUUUUCCAGGCAAAUCCGGAAAAUCAAGGCUGAGGCGUGAUGACGAGGUACUACGGUGCUGAAGCAACAAAUGCCCUGCUUCCAGGAAAAGCCUCUAAGCAUCAGGUAACAUCAAAUCGUACCCCAAACCGACACAGGUGGUCAGGUAGAGAAUACCAAGGCGCUUGAGAGAACUCGGGUGAAGGAACUAGGCAAAAUGGUGCCGUAACUUCGGGAGAAGGCACGCUGAUAUGUAGGUGAAGUCCCUUGCGGAUGGAGCUGAAAUCAGUCGAAGAUACCAGCUGGCUGCAACUGUUUAUUAAAAACACAGCACUGUGCAAACACGAAAGUGGACGUAUACGGUGUGACGCCUGCCCGGUGCCGGAAGGUUAAUUGAUGGGGUUAGCG